CGGUGCCGCGGCGCGGGCCGGAGGCGGGCGGCUCGGCCAUGGAGGCCCCCUCGGUGUCCUCGGUGCCGGCCGCCUCCGCCUCGGGGGCGCCGGCGGGGCGAGGGCCCAUCAAGGGCAUCCUGAAGAAGGGCGGCGGGAAGGCGGCGGGGGACAGCGCGGCCCCCGGGGCGAGGCGGGCCAGCCCGGCCCGCGACGACGACGAGCACGGAAAAAAAUCCCAGAAGUGGGAUGAAAUGAACAUCAUAGCUACAUACCACCCAGCAGGCAAAGAUUAUGGCUUGAUGAAAAUAGAUGAACCUAGUACUCCGUAUCACAGCAUGGUAGGAGAUGACGAUGAAGAUGCAGUGAGUGAUUCAGAAUCAAAUGAGCCCUUAAAAGCAGAUGUGUUGAGUAAAAAACUGGCAGCUGCAGCUGAAGGUAGGGGACCUAAGAUUAUAGCAAGGCUAGAGGAAAGCAGUGAGGAGGAGGAUGAGGAUGAAGAAUUAACACCUGAAGAACGAGAAAAGAAGAAGCAGUUUGAAAUGAAGAGAAAAAUGCACUACAAUGAAGGACGAAACAUCAAACUGGCAAGACAGCUCAUCGCAAAAGAACUACCUGCUGAAGAUGAUGAAGAGAUGUGUGAUGCUGCAGAUGUAGAAACGAUGAAUACAGAAGCUACUGAACAUGAACUUCACUCUCCAGGGGAAAGGAGGGCUCCAAUAGGCAACCUUAGGACCUUUCUCCAUGGCUUGAAGCUGCCAUCUCUCUGCACUCUGCUGUAAAACAGAGGCAACUCCGCUCCCCAGCUGCAUUCUCCAGUGGACAGAAGGCACACCUUUGCAGCAUUUUUCCAUCUCUAUUGUUGAAGUCCAUUCCACCUUGCCUCAUAACCAGCUUCUGAACCACAACUGAAUGAGAUUUCUUGCUGAUUGAAAUGAAGAUCACCAGUCCAGUCAGUAAUGCACAUGCUACUCAAGACCAGCUGGAAGGUAGAGCACGCAGCGUAGAAGAAAUCUGUCCAGAACUGUAACUGCUUGUCAAAGACACAAAUAUAAACACUGCUUCAUGAUUUUUGCAAUUCAGGCUCUAAUAUAUUGAGAAGCAUAUCAGUUACAAUGUUGUAUUGCCAAGAAUGUUAAUUUUAGACUUGUCCAUUAGGCAGAAAAAAAACUGUCUAAUUGAUUUAUUCUUGUGCCUAGUAUUUCAUGGAGAAUACUGCUUUAUUAUCUGUUCAACCAGAUGGCAUUCCCUGUAUGUAUAAUGCUGAUUAUCUUGCGUAAUGUACUGUUACUCUUCAUGCUUUGAAACACAGACACUAUCUCUGUUUUUUCACUAUUUAUUUGACAGUGCUCUAGGUGUGGUAUCCCUUAUGGAGGGGUUUAGGAUUCAAGAGCUAAACGGUACAGCAUAUAUCAGAUUGACACGCAAGCUAUUUAUCAGAUGUGUUAAGCAGUAUAAAAAGGGAUUAUACAAGUUUUAGAACUUCUUAAAAACAAUUUUGACCUCUUAAUCUAGAUUUCAGUGUAUUAUUACCUGUACUUCCUCAAUCUCAAGAAGAAAAGCUGUAUUUUUCAGACCAGUAUUUGGAAUCAGUUAUUUGCUUCUGACUAAGGCAGUGCUAACAUCUGGUGGAGGGAGUGUUUUACACUGGAAGCGUGCUAACUUGAACUUUGAAUUUAACUCAUUUUCUCUUCCACUGGAUGUUUUUUUGGAGCUCUCGGUUUAUCUUGAGAACAUGAAAGUUCCCUCUGACUUUUCUCUUAAAACGACAUCAACUGUUAUUCUUAUGGCUCUUGCUUCAAGCUUUUGAUCCUUUCCAGUUGCGUGAUGAGUUGUGCUUACAAGCACCUGAAGAAAAACACCCAUCCAUAAGGAAAAUCCACAUCAGGACUGUGAAGAUGGGCUGAGUUUAGGCUCUGUCUGUUCUUUAUGUGAAGAUAACUGCUGGUGAUCUGCUUGUUUGGGGUUUGUAACCUGCAUACUGAAAACCACUGGUCUAAAUCUUUCUGCAUCCAAGUAAGUUACUUACAGCAGCUGCUUUUGCAAAAUGAAAGCUGUUUGGAAGAUUAGAAAGGAAACUGCCUAAUUCAGAUAUGUUGUUUACGAUGUGGUUGUGUAGCCCUUGUAAAGAGGGAUUCUGAACCUCCACAUUGCUGUAAACAACUUCCCCCUCGAUGGAAUUUGACUAGUGAAUGUUCUAGUAUUCAAAAUAGUUCCUGGGUUUUAUUACAGCAAUGAAGUAUACACUUAAGCUUUAGCUUGAUUAUGGAAUACAGUGUAUAUCUUAAUUUUGGUCUGAAUUUGAUAUGUUGCAAAAAAUCCAUAUAAUUAUAUGGAUCUAUUUUAAAAUGUCUCUUUGUCCACUGUAUAUGUGAAGUUUGAAUAAAGGAAUGAAAGUUAUUUUACAGUUA